CAGGACAGCAGACAGGUGGAGCCAGAGGACGGUAACGUGAAUCAGAAGUCUGUGAGAUUCGGCAGUUUUGAACAGCAUGGAUCAUCUCUGAAUGAACAAAAUGAGAAGACUCCAGACAAUCCUAUUCCGCCUCCAUGUCCAUGCAUAGAGAAAAGGGCACUGCCCUCCAGCACAAUUUCACAUUUUAAGCCUGCAAAGGCCUUGAAGUUUGACAUCCCAAAAGAAAAUCUACAAAUCAGCGAUGAAAUGGAAGAUCCGAUAGUGGGUGUGGCCAUGAGAAUAGUGGAAGACCGACACAGAGUCCGUGGAACGACAGAGAGAGGAAAGAAUGGCGAUGUGGUCAGCCCUGGGACCGCAGGGAGUGGGUCAGGGCAGAUUCGCGAUUGCCGCGGCUUGAUGCCUGAGGUGGAUGAUCCAGUGGAAAGGGUUGUGGGUGAGGUGAUUGCGGCAGAUGUAAAAAUGGUCUUUGUCUGCCCUGAGAAGCAUGAGAUUCACCGUGUAAACGAAGAUCCAGUGAAAGUGAAAUGCAAUGGAUGUGACAUCCACUACAAAAAAACUAAAAUGACCGUCCUCCUCGAGGGAACCAUUAUGAUUGGACGUGACCAUGGAAAGAGGUUCAAACUAAAUGACAGAAUUCUUAGGUCAUUCAUAGAUUGUGACUCUGUAGGAAUAGAUUCUAUUACCGAUCAACUAUUUUAUUCAAAAACUGUCAGCUUGACAGUUAAGAAUAACGAGGUACUGCAUGCUGUGAGGGUGGGUGAUAUGGCCUAAAAUUCAUAUCACAAUAUGAAGUCCAUCCAUCCAUCCAUUAUCUACACCCGCUUAUCCUGGGCAGGGUCGCGCGGGAGCUGGAGCCUAUCCCAGUGUGCAUUGGGCAAGAGGCAGGAAUACACCCUGGACAGGCAGCCAAUCUAUUGCGGGGCACACACACGCUUAUACCUAUGGGCAAUUUAGCCUACCUGCAUGUCUCUGGACUGUGGGAGGAAACUGGAGUACCUGGAGGAAACCCACAUGGACACGGGGAGAGCGUGCAAACUCCACACAGAAAGGCACAGGCCGAGGUUCAAACCCACGACCCUCUUGCUGUGUGGAAACAGUGCUACCCACUGCACCACCGUGCCAUAUAUUAUGAUGUAAACUUAAAAAAAAUGAAAAUUUGAAUCAUAACUUGGGUUAUAUAAAACCAGAAAAGUUAAGACAUGGCUCGAUACACUGAAUAUUUUUAUUGUGCAAUUUUUUCAUUCCUGCACCAAAGCUACCACAAGAAGGAUUUUUUUCUGAAAUAAAAUGUAUAAAGUGAUUGGUAUAAAAUAUCUUUUCUCAGAAGGUAAAACAUUUAAAACGGGUCAUUUUUCAAUUAAUUUUUUGGUUCAGAUUUUUCUGUCUAAACCCUAUUGGUGUGGUGGACUCCGGACACAAUUAACUGGAACAGCUCAUUCUUAUUUCACAGGGUUCCAGCUGUAUUGCAGUAGUUACACCUCAGGUUUAACCCCAGCUAAGCACGCUGCAGUUGACCCAGUAGUUUUUUGUUUAUUUCUUUGGGGCUUCUGGCUGGCUGUGCUUCUUUGAUAAGCACUAAGGGAGCUGAACACAUACCAGCCCGGAUUGGGGUUGCCAGAUUUACAAUUAGAAGUGAAAUUGCGAACAAAGUCGGAUCGGGGAAGCAACGUUGGAACUGGGGGGGGGAGUCAUUGACACAACAGUUAACACAAGAAAGUAACGGAAAAUUUCCUCCAGCAAUGACGCCACAAACCGGACCUGUAAAAAUUGUUUGAAAAUUUGACAUUCUAGUUGAAAAAACAGAUUUCUGGCAACCCUACCCCUGAUACAAUCAGGAAAGUGAGGUCUGUCUGCCAUCUUUCUCUUUCCUUUAACUUUUUAAAGGAAACUUUUUUUUUUUUUUUUUUUUUUUGCCUGGAAAGAUCUUUAAUUGGUUUUUAUGGUGUGUCCGUUACUUCUCCGUUGCUGGUCUACGAGUUGGUACAACACUCUUCUAAUUCUGAUGCUAUAGAACUGUAUGAACUGUACUGAUGUUUAACGUGAUCGGACAUUAAUAUAUUUUGAUGUAAAUAAAUAUUUUUUU